rnacentral:rRNA from 1 species
AGUUUGAAUCUGGCUCAGGACGAACGCUGGCGGCGUGCCUAAUACAUGCAAGUCGAACGAACGGAGGAAGAGCUUGCUCUUCCAAAGUUAGUGGCGGACGGGUGAGUAACACGUGGGCAACCUGCCUGUAAGUUGGGGAUAACUCCGGGAAACCGGGGCUAAUACCGAAUGAUAGAGUGUGGCGCAUGCCACGCUCUUGAAAGAUGGUUUCGGCUAUCGCUUACAGAUGGGCCCGCGGUGCAUUAGCUAGUUGGUAGGGUAAUGGCCUACCAAGGCAACGAUGCAUAGCCGACCUGAGAGGGUGAUCGGCCACACUGGGACUGAGACACGGCCCAGACUCCUACGGGAGGCAGCAGUAGGGAAUCUUCCGCAAUGGACGAAAGUCUGACGGAGCAACGCCGCGUGUAUGAAGAAGGUUUUCGGAUCGUAAAGUACUGUUGUUAGAGAAGAACAAGGAUAAGAGUAACUGCUUGUCCCUUGACGGUAUCUAACCAGAAAGCCACGGCUAACUACGUGCCAGCAGCCGCGGUAAUACGUAGGUGGCAAGUUUUUUUCCCGGAUGGAGGGAGGCGUAAAGCGCGCGCAGGCGGUCUUUUAAGUCUGAUGUGAAAGCCCCCGGCUUAACCGGGGAGGGUCAUUGGAAACUGGAAGACUGGAGUGCAGAAGAGGAGAGUGGAAUUCCACGUGUAGCGGUGAAAUGCGUAGAUAUGUGGAGGAACACCAGUGGCGAAGGCGACUCUCUGGUCUGUAACUGACGCUGAGGCGCGAAAGCGUGGGGAGCAAACAGGAUUAGAUACCCUGGUAGUCCACGCCGUAAACGAUGAGUGCUAAGUGUUAGGGGGUUUCCGCCCCUUAGUGCUGCAGCUAACGCAUUAAGCACUCCGCCUGGGGAGUACGACCGCAUGGUUGAAACUCAAAAGGAAUUGACGGGGGCCCGCACAAGCGGUGAGCAUGUGGUUUAUUCGAAGCAACGCGAAGAACCUUACCAGGUCUUGACAUCCUUUGACCACUCUGGAGACAGAGCUUUCCCUUCGGGGACAAAGUGACAGGUGGUGCAUGGUUGUCGUCAGCUCGUGUCGUGAGAUGUUGGGUUAAGUCCCGCAACGAGCGCAACCCUUGAUUUUAGUUGCCAGCAUUUAGUUGGGCACUCUAAAGUGACUGCCGGUGCAAGCCGGAGGAAGGUGGGGAUGACGUCAAAUCAUCAUGCCCCUUAUGACCUGGGCUACACACGUGCUACAAUGGAUGGUACAAAGGGUCGCGAAGCCGCGAGGUGGAGCCAAUCCCAUAAAACCAUUCUCAGUUCGGAUUGUAGGCUGCAACUCGCCUACAUGAAGCCGGAAUCGCUAGUAAUCGUGGAUCAGCAUGCCACGGUGAAUACGUUCCCGGGCCUUGUACACACCGCCCGUCACACCACGAGAGUUUGUAACACCCGAAGUCGGUAGGGUAACCUUUAUGGAGCCAGCCGCCGAAAGUGGGACAGAUAAUUGGGGUGAAGUCGUACAGGGGUAGCCGUAAGG